CCCAGAUAGCGGCGGUGACGCCGGCGGAGUCCACCGUCAUGGAACAUAAAACGAAAUGCUAGACCGCCUCGCCGCGUUUUCUGUGGUGGUAUCGGCGUCGGCUAUGGACGGUGCCCGCUAAAUAACAAGCCGCGUAUGUUGCUCUGAUGGCGCCGCCGCAUCUGAGCCGGAUGGGUCUGUCACGCUUGGGACUCCGGACUCAUGGAAAAGAAAUUUCCGGCGGUUGGCACAGCCGUCGCAUGAUGCGUGCGCACAUUAGUCCAUUACACCGCGCCAGUUUUUCGUACACCGAACGCCCGCACGCCACCGCUACCGCCGGAGUUUGUUGUACGCGACGCGCACAGGCCGACAACUGUCCGACGCGAAAUGGCCGAACUGUUGGCACUGCUGGGACUACGCCAACAAAUACAGCUGCUGUGGCCGUCACCGCUAAGGCGCUAAAGAAAACAACGUAUUUUCAAAUUAUUUUUUAUAAUGCCCGCGCAAUACGCCGGAAAUAUCAUAAUAAUAACAAAUAUCAUUUUAUUCUAACAACGAUAACUGAAUAUUGAAUAACCCAGCAAAUAAUUUAUAAUUAUGACGGCGAAGUGAUGAAUAAACACGUAAUAUGAACGUAUAAAUGUUUAGUUCUGUCCCAAAAACAACAUGGCGCUGGCUACUUUAACUACUAAAUGUAUUUUACAAAAUGAAUUAGAAAUACGAUAAUUAAUAAUCGUAUGCUGACAAAAAAAAUAACUUAUCGUGUAUGCCGAGUAUGGGUCGAUGAAGUGGAUAGGUGAAGGAUCGUUUUGGACAAAUUCAACAGCUUUUUUUAAUCGAAGUUGAAGCCGUAGAUUCCUCACUCAGAGCACAUGGGUAAAUCAUCAAAACCACUCGAAGAAUAUGAAUGAUGAACCAUAAAGUGCAUUCCAAUAUGUAACGCAAUAUAUCAAUAUCCUCAUUGAGUAUUGUCAACGACAAUAGAUAAGGUGUUAGCAUCAGAUGUAGUAAUCCAC